rnacentral:rRNA from 1 species
GAUGAACGCUGGCGGCGUGCCUAAUACAUGCAAGUCGAGCGAACAGACGAGGAGCUUGCUCCUCUGACGUUAGCGGCGGACGGGUGAUUAACACGUGGAUAACCUACCUAUAAGACUGGGAUAACUUCGGGAAACCGGAGCUAAUACCGGAUAAUAUGUUGAACCGCAUGGUUCAAUAGUGAAAGACGGUUUUGCUGUCACUUAUAGAUGGAUCCGCGCCGCAUUAGCUAGUUGGUAAGGUAACGGCUUACCAAGGCGACGAUGCGUAGCCGACCUGAGAGGGUGAUCGGCCACACUGGAACUGAGACACGGUCCAGACUCCUACGGGAGGCAGCAGUAGGGAAUCUUCCGCAAUGGGCGAAAGCCUGACGGAGCAACGCCGCGUGAGUGAUGAAGGUCUUCGGAUCGUAAAACUCUGUUAUUAGGGAAGAACAAAUGUGUAAGUAACUAUGCACGUCUUGACGGUACCUAAUCAGAAAGCCACGGCUAACUACGUG